AUACGAACCGUACGAACGUUAUUCGGAAUCACUGGGCUUAAAGCGUGCGUAGGCGGCUUGGAAAGUUGGGUGUGAAAUCCCUCGGCUCAACCGAGGAAUUGCGCCCAAUACUGCCAGGCUUGAGGGAGGUAGAGGUAAGCGGAACUAAUGGUGGAGCGGUGAAAUGCGUUGAUAUCAUUAGGAACACCUGUGGCGAAAGCAGCUUACUGGGCCUCUUCUGACGCUGAGGCACGCACGCUAGGGGAGCGAACGGGAUUAGAUACCCCGGUAGUUCUAGCUGUAAACGAUGAGCACUGGAUUGAGGAGACUUCCACAUCUUCUCGGUCGUAGCGAAAGUGUUAAGUGCUCCGCCUGGGGAGUAUGGUCGCAAGGCUGAA
rnacentral:rRNA from 1 species